UAAAAUAUUGCAUGAUGAGUUCCUGUAUGAUGAGAGUUUGAAUUCCUACCACAGCCAUAUAUACAUGCUUGCUAGACUUUGAGCCGCACAUUUACUUUUUACUACUUAUGAGCAUUGAGUGUGGUCAAGCUGCGUAGACCCUUAGGAGCUUGUCAUGUGGUUAAAUCAAGAUUCACUUGCACGUUCACUCACACAUGCUAUUUCUACUCCGGAAAUAUGCAUCCACAUAUAUCCACCCAUUUCCAUCUCC
rnacentral:lncRNA from 1 species